UUUCUUAGAACAGGCGGAACCCACUCCCGCAUUUCAAAUUUGGUUCUGAUAAGGAACCUCCCUGGCAAGCCGUCAGCUCUGCAGAUGGGAGAUUUGCCAUUUUCUGUUGCCUAAAGCCAUUAUUUUUGGCCUCGAAUUUGACAGAAAGCUUGGGACUACCCCUGUGGGAUAAUCGAAGGCAUCAAAACACCAUAGAACUGAUAUUUAGUACAAAAGUGUUGUAUCGUGUUAGGAGAUAAAGAAUAGCUUCUGUACACGAAUAACAGGAGUGCAGCUGCAGGGAGGCUGAAGGGAGGCUCAGGAGGCCCAUGUCGGUGACAAGGCAGGCCUUCCACCUCCUCUGGGCAUGGUGGUGACUGCUUUUUGGUCCUAAGCAAACUUCGAGGUUUGAGCAGAGAAUGAGAGAUAAGGCAACAAGGAAAGUGACUUUGGAAAUCUUUUAUCAUCAUCAUGAGACUCAGUUUUGGAACACAAUUCACAAGGAAUGAGAUGAAAAGAUGGAGCCAUUGUAACGGCAUCCAGGGGCUGGGGUUGGACACCUGCCCAGCUUCACACUGUGGCCCAUGGAACCCUGGCAGGUCCCGUGUACCGUUGUCCACCAGCUGUGCCAGCGGGGUUAGAAAUGACCAUUUCAAACGCCACGAGAUAUCUUACAUUGUGUACUUCUCCCAGGAGGCAUAAAGUUCUGUGACCCUUUUUUCACAUCAGGGGAAGCAAAGUACAUUUCAAAAGCCUUUUAGGCAUUCAAACUUAAAAAGCAGCUCUAGAGGCAAAUUCCAGAAAUGUAUCAGGAAAAAGUUUCUUACAGUAAACUAGAGAACUCACUACAUUUUCCUUAACAUGAUGUAUAAUCUAGAAAAAUGAAGCAAAAUUUUAUGAAAACAAAAACGUUAUGCUCCAAAUAAAGCCUAGCAUGGACAACAGUACCUUAUAGACAGCAGAGCCUCCUUUUAGAACCAGGGCACUUUCUGAUGUCGGUCAUCCCCAGUCUGCAUAGCAGGUGAGAAGAAAACAUAGCUUUUUUUGCAUUUAAAACUGAAGCACAGUAAAUGAAAGUGACUUGCUGAGACCAAGUAGAGUUGCAAAGAUGCCAGCACCCGGCUUUCUUCUUUUCCUUCACUGAUUUAGCAAAUUACAUUUCUUCAAGUGUGGAGAUGCAGUAGCUGCCCGACUUUUCAGUUCAGCGACUGAAUCUGCAUCAUAGUUGGGUAGGAGGAGGUUCUGGCUUGUUCAUUUUGAUUUGCCACUCUACAAGGUAAAAUCACAGAGGACCAUCCCGGUCAACAAAGUAUAAGACCACACCUGCAGCAACUGUGCCCAUGUUUAUGCUCUGAUCCUUGUAUUGCAGUCUCAAGAUUUCCUCUUCUUCCAGAAUCCCAAAGUAGGAGUGAUUAUGAUUUAGGUCGCAGGUAGUUCCAUAAACACGGGUGUUGAGGACGCUGGCUGUUGUCAGGAAUAGGAGUCUCUGGGGUCGAAACCUGGGGGCUCUGCUGCCUGCCCUUUGCCUCGGAGGGUGUGGAAGACCCUCCGAUAGGAGCUCCUGAAGGUGGGGCUGGAGAAGCAGUACACCACGGGGUUGAGCACACUGUGCAGGUAGGUGAGGCUGUCCGUGACUUCCGAGGUAUGAGCCACUGCGCACAGGGCCCUGAAGCUCCCCAGAUUCUGGAAGAUGUGCAUCAGGACUCUGGUCAGGAAGCAGGGCAGAAAGCAUAGAGUAAACAGCACCACCACCACGGUGACCAGUGCCUGGGCCCGCCGAAGCUUGGGCUGUUUCUCAGGCUCCCGGAGUCUUUUCUGGAGAGCUCUGAUGAUGCCUGCAUUGCAGAACACGAUGAGGCCAAAGGGGAGGACAAACUGAAGGCAGGAGAGUGCUUCCUGCCAGACGACGCUGAAGGAGCCAUCUGCCGUGGGGUAGAAACUGUGGCACCUGGUGAAGUUCUGGGCGGCCUCAGAGAUGAGCAAGCCUGGGCAGGUGAGGGCAACCAUCAGGAGCCAGACGAGGCCCGAGACCCCCAGGGCUGCCCGAGGAGACAGCAGGUUGACCUUAAGCUGACGGUGGACCACACGGAGGUACCGGUCCAAGGCCACGGCGGCCAGGAAGGCCACCCGGCCUUGUGGCUGAGGUCCAGCAGGAAGCGCAGGGCCCAGCAGCCCACGUGGCCCAGAUGCCAAGCCUGGAGGCUCAGGUAGAAGAUGGCCAGGAACGGCAGACACGAGGCCAACAGCAGGUCAGCCAGGGCCAGGUUGAGCAGGUAGACGGCAUACGGCUUCCACACCCUGACCCGGAACAGGAAGGUCCACAGCGCCACUGCGUUGCCCAGCAGACCCAGCCAGCACUCCAGCCCCAGCAGGACACCCACAGCUGUGGCCACCACAGUGUUGGGGGCUGAGCAGUUUGGGAAUGGCAUCACCUGGCUGUGCUGGGCUGCAGGCACCGCUGGAGCAGAUGCAGGAGGAACUCUGUGCUCUUUCUUACAAAAUGAAAGAAAAGGCC
ensembl:lncRNA